GGCAGAGGCAGGUGGAUCUCUGUGAGUUCCAGGCCAACGAGAUCCAGGACAGGCACCAAAACUACACAGGGAAACCCUGUCUCGAAAAAAGAAAAGAAAAAAGAAAGGAGAAAGAACUUGUCUCAAGUCUCAGCUUGUGGAAGCAGAAGCCUCUAGGAUACACAGUCCCAGUGCUAACCUGGAAGGCGCAUGACCUGACGAAGUGUAUCUCGGUGUUGACAGCCUCCAGGAGCCCCUGCAUUUCCGCCCCUGCCACGGUCUUCAACUGCUCCAUCCAGCGCUGGGCCAGGAAGAGGCUCCACAGAGCCUUGCAGUAUUUCUCCUGCAGACCAAGAGGCCAGUUCAAGCCACAGGGCUGGGGUGCAGGGGGCCCUCCCGACUGUGACUCACGUCCUGAAGGUUGAUGGCCACCGUGACGGGGUAAUCUUUAAGCAGGU